rnacentral:tRNA from 1 species
GCCCGGGUGGCGAAAUUGGUAGACGCACCAGAUUUAGGUUCUGGCGUAGCGAUACGUGGGGGUUCGAGUCCCUUCCCGGGCACCA